UGCGUAGGUGGCGCCGUAAGUCGGGUGUGAAAUUUCGGAGCUUAACUCCGAAACUGCAUUCGAUACUGCGGCGCUUGAGGACUGGAGAGGAGACUGGAAUUCAUGGUGUAGCAGUGAAAUGCGUAGAGAUCAUGAGGAAGACCAGUGGCGAAGGCGGGUCUCUGGACAGUUCCUGACACUGAGGCACGAAGGCCAGGGGAGCAAACG
rnacentral:rRNA from 1 species